AGGAUUUACACCUGUUGUCGUGAG
rnacentral:miRNA from 1 species